AUUGAACGCUGGCGGAAUGCUUUACACAUGCAAGUCGAACGGUAGAGGGGGCAACCCCUCGAGAGUGGCGAACGGGUGAGUAAUAUAUCGGAACGUGCCCAGUCGUGGGGGAUAACGUAGCGAAAGUUACGCUAAUACCGCAUACGAUCUAAGGAUGAAAGCGGGGGAUCGCAAGACCUCGCGCGAUUGGAGCGGCCGAUAUCAGAUUAGGUAGUUGGUGGGGUAAAGGAUCACCAAGCCAACGAUCUGUAGCUGGUCUGAGAGGACGACCAGCCACACUGGAACUGAGACACGGUCCAGACUCCUACGGGAGGCAGCAGUGGGGAAUUUUGGACAAUGGACGCAAGUCUGAUCCAGCCAUUCCGCGUGCAGGAUGAAGGCCCUCGGGUUGUAAACUGCUUUUGUACGGAACGAAAAGGUCUCUCUUAAUACGGGGGGCUCAUGACGGUGCCGUAAGAAUAAGCACCGGCUAACUACGUGCCAGCCGCCGCUGUAA
rnacentral:rRNA from 1 species